CGGCGAGUGAAGCGGCAACAGCUCAAAUUUGAAAGCUGGCUCCUUUGGAGUCCGCGUUGUAAUUUGUAGAGGAUGAUUCGGCAAGGGCUCCCGCCUAAGUCUCCUGGAACGGAGCGUCAUAGAGGGUGAGAAUCCCGUAUGCGGUGGGCUGCCUAAGCCAUGUGAAUCUCCUUCGACGAGUCGAGUUGUUUGGGAAUGCAGCUCUAAAUGGGAGGUAAAUUUCUUCUAAAGCUAAAUACCGGCCAGAGACCGAUAGCGCACAAGUAGAGUGAUCGAAAGAUGAAAAGCACUUUGGAAAGAGAGUUAAAAAGUACGUGAAAUUGUUGAAAGGGAAGCGCUUGCAGCCAGACUUGUCCGCAGUUGCUCAGCCGGUCUCCUGACCGGUGUACUCUUCUGCGGCCAGGCCAGCAUCAGUUCGGGCGGUCGGAUAAAGACCUCGGGAAUGUAGCUCCUCUCGGGGAGUGUUAUAGCCCGGGGUGGAAUGCGGCCAGCCUGGACUGAGGAUCUCGCUUCGGCUAGGAUGCUGGCGUAAUGGCUGUAAGCGGCCCGUCUUGAAACACGGACCAAGGAGUCUAACAUCUAUGCGAGUGUUUGGGUGUCAAACCCAUGCGCGUAAUGAAAGUGAACGGAGGUGGGAACCCUCACGGGUGCACCAUCGACCGAUCCUGAUGUCUUCGGAUGGAUUUGAGUAAGAGCAUAGCUGUUGGGACCCGAAAGAUGGUGAACUAUGCCUGAAUAGGGUGAAGCCAGAGGAAACUCUGGUGGAGGCUCGCAGCGGUUCUGACGUGCAAAUCGAUCGUCAAAUUUGGGUAUAGGGGCGAAAGACUAAUCGAACCAU
rnacentral:rRNA from 1 species